rfam:Aedes albopictus isolate Foshan contig35603, whole genome shotgun sequence.
CAAACGGUCCUUCUCAGGACCAUAGGAAAUCUUUUCUACAGAGUUAU